rnacentral:rRNA from 1 species
UACGGGGGGGGCAAGCGUUGUUCGGAAUUACUGGGCGUAAAGGGCUCGUAGGUGGCCAACUAAGUCAGACGUGAAAUCCCUCGGCUUAACCGGGGAACUGCGUCUGAUACUGGAUGGCUUGAGUUUGGGAGAGGGAUGCGGAAUUCCAGGUGUAGUGGUGAAAUGCGUAGAGAUCCGGAGGAACCCCAGAGGCGAAGGCGGCCCCCUGGCUCGUACCUGACGCUCAGCCACGAAAGCAUGGGGAGCGAACGGG